rnacentral:snRNA from 1 species
GUGCUUACAUCAGCAGUACGUAUACUAAAACUGGAAUGACAGAAAAUUAGCAUAGUUCUUGUGUACAAGGAUGACACACAAGUCAUGAACCACUUCUUUUUUUA